AACUAGCGCAGACUGGUGCGCCCCAGGCAUCUCUGGGUGAGUAUCUCUUUGAGCGCCUCACUCAAGCACCACUAGGAGA
rnacentral:pre_miRNA from 1 species